UUUACAUUAUACUUGUUAUUCUAUGAGAAUCAACUUACCUUUUGAUAUUCAACAUGUAUCUUCAGACCCUGAAAAACUCCGAGGAGUCACUGAAAGAACAGUUGGAGAAAGCAAAGAAAAAGGAAGCUGCAUUCAUAGUUACAUUUGCAAAACGGGAUCUUAGAGCUCAACUCAAGCCACCAUCAUUGCAGGCCAGAAGGUAUUGAGGUUGUACAUACGCUUGCAGCUUGCUGCCUUUGAGAUCUACUUCCAUGUCCG